rnacentral:rRNA from 1 species
GACGAACGCUGGCGGUAUGCUUAACACAUGCAAGUCGAACGAGACGAGAUGGAAGGAUCCUUCGGGUGACGGAAAUCUUAGAAAGUGGCGAACGGGUGAGUAACGCGUGGGUAACCUGCCCUAUGGAAAGGAAUAGCCUCGGGAAACUGGGAGUAAUGCCUUAUAAUAUAUGUUUGUCGCAUGGCAGACAUAUUAAACGCUCCGGUGCCAUAGGAUGGAUCCGCGUCCCAUUAGCUAGUUGGUGAGAUAACAGCCCACCAAGGCGACGAUGGGGAACCGGUCUGAGAGGGCGAACGGUCACACUGGAACUGAGACACGAGCCAGACUCCUACGGGAGGCAGCAGUGGGGAAUAUUGCGCAAUGGGGGAAACCCUGACGCAGCAAUACCGCGUGAGUGAAGAAGGUUUUCGGAUCGUAAAGCUCUGUUAUUGGGGAAGAAAAAAAGACGGUACCCAAGAAGAAAGUCCCGGCUAACUACGUGCCAGCCGCCGCCGUAAGAC